GUUACAUACGCUUCAGGUUACACACUCCGCUAACCCAGAAAUAGUGCUUCAGGUUAAGAACUUUGCUUCAGGAUGAGAACAGAAAUCGUGCUCCGGUGGCGUGGCAGCAGCGGGAGGCCCCAUUAGCUAAAGUGGUGCUUCAGGUUAAGAACAGUUUCAGGUUAAGAACGGACCUCCGGAACGAAUUAACUACUUAACCCGAG